UGCUGCCCCUGGCAACCACCAGCAAUUGGCUGGGGUGAACAUGUUGGAUGAAACCAAGCAGCACACCGGAGUAGAUGUUUCUACAACCGACUCCAGACCUUCUGACUCCAUAAGUCUAUUCCUCACUGCUACUCGCAGCACCCUGGCCAGGCUGACAAAGCAGGGACAUCCAAUGGUCUCGCAUCAUCUUUCACUACAAAGGACGCCCAUCCCAUCACUCAUGACAAGGACCCGAGGAGUCGAUAACCUGAGCUCCAUUCUGGUUUCACACCCAAGGCAGCCCAGGGACAUCUCCUCUGAACAAAUAUCAACCUGGAGUCACACCACUCUGCAAAACAGGGAGCAGGGGAUGGAGCAGCCCAGGGGGAGUGGGAAGUGCGGAGGCAAAGGGUUCAGCUUCCCUCCUCCCAGCCCAGGCCACUUGUCCACUGUGCCUUCCUCUGCCGAUGCUGAUGCUGAUGAUAUACCAAGUCUGCCAUUCCCUCACCACCAGGCUUUGUAGAGAGGAGAGGAGCCCCAGCCCCUGUGAGUGGCCACUGUUCACGGCACUUCAGUGACAUGAGAAGAGCAGACUCCCUACAAUGAACAAUUCUGGCCAACCAAGUGUUCUCUGGCCUCCAUCUGCAUAGCUGUGCAGAUGGUAUUGUUAGCAGGUGGACUGGAGAAGAGUCAAGCUUUGGAGGAUCAGUUCUUGCAAGUUGUUUGUCCUGUCUAGCCUGCUCUCAGCAAGCCAUGCAGAUCGUGUGGGCUCCAGAAAGAGGCAGCCCUGGACUGGAAUCCCAUCACGACCCUUUGUAGCUGUGUGACCUUGGGUAAAUGACCUAACCUCUCUGAGCAUCCUAUCUGUAAAGUGGGAAUACCAAUAUUCCAUGAAGAAUCUUGUGAGGAUAAAAGGAGUAUGUAUAUAAAGUAGCUCAUGUAAUACCAAAGUCAUGCUGAAAAUAAACAUACCUGCAUCAUCAUAAAAGCCAGUAAUAAUA